rnacentral:rRNA from 1 species
UACGGGGGGGGCAAGCGUUGUUCGGAAUUACUGGGCGUAAAGGGCUCGUAGGCGGCCAACUAAGUCGGAUGUGAAAUCCCCAGGCUCAACCUGGGAACUGCAUCCGAUACUGGAUGGCUUGAAUCCGGGAGAGGGAUGCAGAAUUCCAGGUGUAGCGGUGAAAUGCGUAGAUAUCUGGAGGAAUACCGGUGGCGAAGGCGGCAUCCUGGACCGGCAUUGACGCUGAGGAGCGAAAGCUAGGGGAGCAAACGGG